ACUCCUACGGGAGGCAGCAGUGGGGAAUAUUGCACAAUGGGGCGCAAGCCUGAUGCAGCCAUGCCGCGUGUAUGAAGAAGGCCUUCGGGUUGUAAAGUACUUUCAGCAGUGAGGAAGGUGGAUAUGUUAAUAGCAUAUUCAUUUGACGUUAGCUGCAGAAGAAGCACCGGCUAACUCCGUGCCAGCAGCCGCGGUAAUACGGAGGGUGCGAGCGUUAAUCGGAAUUACUGGGCGUAAAGCGCAUGCAGGUGGUUUGUUAAGUCAGAUGUGAAAGCCCGGGGCUCAACCUCGGAAUUGCAUUUGAAACUGGCGAAACUAGAGUACUGUAGAGGGGGGGUAGAAUUUCAGGUGUAGCGGUGAAAUGCGUAGAGAUCUAGAAGGAAUACCGGUGGCGAAAGGCGGACCCCCUGGACAGAUACUGACACUCGAGAUAGCGAAAAGCGUGGGGAAGCAAAACAGGAUUAGAUACCCUGGUAAGCGU
rnacentral:rRNA from 1 species